GGCUAACCACUCCGGUGGCCUAGUAGUUAGAGCGGCCGCCUCGAAUGCAGGAGGUCUUGGGUUCGAUCCCCGUCGAGUCA